rnacentral:rRNA from 1 species
AUGGAAGGGGCGGGGAGCGGCGGGAAGAUGGGAGGAGGAGAGGGGAUGGCCGGCCGUGCCGGUGCCGGUGCUGCGUGGGCGGCCAAGGAGAAGACCGGCUUCGCCGCCACCUGCAGCCUCCUGAGCCGCUACAUGAAGGAGAAGAAGGGCGGCGCACUGCAGGGCCUCGUCGGCCUCGACAUGUCGCCGCCGGCUGCCGUCGUCGAUGAAGGAGGAGCUUUCCAGCCGCCCACCACCAUGAACCUGCUUUCGGGGCUAGAGGAGCCAAACGCCGCGCACGUGGAGCUCCCCCUCGAGAAAUCUAGUGUUGGCCAGUUUCUCAAGGCCACAACUGACAACCAAGAUGCCAGAGAGGAUGCGCACCAGCUCACCAUCUUCUACGGUGGAAAAGUGGUCGUGGUUGACAACUUCCCGUCCACCAAGGUCAAGGAUUUGCUGCAGAUGGCCGACGGCGCCGGAGACAAGGCCGGGAGCAGCAGCCUCGUUCAGCAGAGCCCUCCCCAGCCUUCACAGAACACUCUCCCUGAUCUGCCAAUAGCGAGGAGGAACUCACUCCAUAGGUUUCUCGAGAAAAGAAAGGGCAGGAUAGUGGCGAAGGCGCCUUACCAAAUUAACAGCGCAUCGGCGGCUCCGUCCAAGCAAGCUAAUGGUGACAACUCCUGGCUCGGGCUAGGCCAAGAAGUGACAAACUGA